AAUUAAGGCGGAACGAAAAAGACAAGAAGGUAAAGCCAAACACCGGCCCCUCCCAUUCCCAUUUCUCACUCCCUACACCCACCACCAUCUUUGGCGACCUCUUUUCAUCCAUCAAUCGCCUCUUGUUUCCUCCAACCACCACUUUCCUCUUUUCCAUCAUCAUCGUCAGUUUCUCAUUCUCUCCGUCACUCUCCUCAAUCACAUUCUCUCUCUCUUUCUCAUUGCAGGUUCAAAACUCGCUGCGGUUACUCAUCUCUUGAAGUUAAAGAUGUUAGCUAUCAACCUCCAGGGACUCAGCUUAAGCUUCUGAAUUCAGUUAGUUUUUCACUUCCGGAGAAAAGUUUUGGUCUAAUUUUUGGACAGAGUGGAAGCGGAAAAACAACUCUCUUGCAGCUUCUUGCAGGAAUAAGCAAACCAACAUCUGGAUCUAUUAACAUCCAAAAUUAUGGGGAUGAUGGAAAUCCUAGUCAAUCUCCAGAGCCCUUGGUGCCGGAAAGGGUUGGUAUUGUCUUCCAGUUUCCGGAGAGGUACCGAUAUAAAACUAAUUGAAUAAGAGAUUUU